CAGUCGCCGCGGGAAUACGAGGGGGGCAAGCGUUGUUCGGAAUUACUGGGCGUAAAGCGUGCGCAGGCGGUUUUGUAAGACAAAGGUGAAAUCCCCGGGCUCAACCUGGGAACUGCCUUUGUGACUGCAAAGCUUGAGUGCGGCAGAGGGGGAUGGAAUUCCGCGUGUAGCAGUGAAAUGCGUAGAGAUGUGGAGGAACACCAGUGGCGAAGGCGACUCUCUGGUCUGUAACUGACGCUGAGAAGCGAAAGCGUGGGGAGCGAACAGGAUUAGAUACCCCCGUAGUCCCUGUCUCUUAUAC
rnacentral:rRNA from 1 species